rnacentral:rRNA from 1 species
GACGAACGCUGGCGGCGUGCUUAACACAUGCAAGUCGAACGAAGUGGCGAACGGGUGAGUACUACGUGGGUACCCUGCCCUCCUUUUUGGGAUAAGCCUUGGAAACGGGGUCUAAUACCGAAUAAAGGGGGAUGGGCUCGCGGCCUAUGAGCUUGUUGGGGGGGUGAUGGCCUACCAGGGCGGUGCCGGGUAGCCGGCCUGAGAGGGUGAUGGGCCACAUGGGGACGGAGAUACGGCCCAGACACCGAGCGGAGGGAGCUGUGGGGGAUAGGGCGAAAUGGACGAAAGCCCGAGGCAGGGACGCGGCGUGGGGGUUGAAGGUGUUAGGGUUUUAAACCUCUGUCGCUAUCGAACGGGUAGGUGGAGAAUAAGCGCCGGCUAACUACGUGCCAGCCGCCGCGGUAAUAC